rnacentral:lncRNA from 1 species
GAGCAUCUCAAAGGUGUGUGUUUCGAUGCCUAAGAGGAGAUAAAUGAAGAAAAGGCUUACCUAGCGCCACUUGACAAGCCUUGCGCAGCUGGUUGUGCUGGCUCCGCUUCACCUCUUUAUCCGCGAGGAUUUUCUCCAGCGCCCGAGACAGAAACAUGCUCUUGGUGCUCAGGCUUUCUGUCUGCGUAUGCCGUCGAUGUGUUGCCAGCGCUUCCUGUUCUUUCAUCUCUCGCUCGACGUGAUUUUAGUGGUCCGUCAGGCCGUCAUCGCUGGCCCGUUCCCUGCGGUUUGGCAGGGGCGUGAAGGUGCCAGAAGGGGCCGAUGUUGUCGCUGGUUCCGUCGGGGCCAGUUGGACGCUGCUCUCUCAGCACUGCGUCGCCAUGUUGGCCGCACGUCACGUCACGUGAUUCGCGGGCGCUUACACUGAUGUGUACAUCCAGAACACGACUUGGUGGAGGUGGAGAUGAAUGGAGGAUUACGCCUUUCGUGGGCGUUCAGAGACCCUACGCUUGUGCUGGUCGCCAUUGUACCGUUUGAGGGCCGUAGGUCGAGGUGAGGCUCGUAUCUGGGCAGAACAGGCAUGCUGGAGCUGGCGGUCGCUCGAACCUUUGCUGGCGGGAUGAGUUUGGCCCCUCUAUCCGCCUCGAUCACCAGAUCCUCCUCGUCCUCACUCUCUUCAUCCGGCUCAAAGUUCUGUAUAAUAUGAGAAGGAGUCAUGGACGUGGAGCCUGGC